UGACCGCAACACUGGCAUCCGUUUUAUAUUAUUUUCACUUUCACCCUAAAGCUUUGUCGUUAAAAAAAUAUUUUUGAAAAAUUACACCGUUAAAAAGGCAACGGUCAACGGUUCAACAUGAGCAACAUAAGCAGGUGUAGUGGAAAAAAACAGCUCGCAGUGUCUAAAUGUUUCUAUGGCAACAGCUACCAGACUAUCAAGUGUUCCUGAAGAGGAGACACCGGGAAAAAGCUCAGAAAUCGGUCAUUUCUUCAGCAAGUAAAGCUUCAAGAUGGAGGUGACAGAGGAAAGUAAAACAGUAGAAGACACAGAAAAUCAACAGAUGAAUGAUGCACUGAGAGCAGAGCAGCAGGAAGUGGAUGUAGCCUCAAUGCAGGAAGAAUGUGAUGAUUUAUUGAGACAAUGGUCGGAUCUUAUUCAGAGUGAGGAUUCUGAGGACGUGAUGGAAGCCUCCAUUGAGCAGCAGCAGAUGUAUGCUGCUAUGUUCCAAGAAUAUAUAAACACCAUAAAUUACUUCCAGCAGAGGAGGAAACGUCUGCAGAGAGAUCUGAAAACAUCAGCGACAAACACCGAAGUUGCAACUGAUGCCCAAGCGGUGUGGCAGAGGAGAGAGCGGGACAAAGCUCAAAGAAAUGGGCAAAGCUCCAAGAUGGAGGCGAACGAGGAAAGUAAAACAGGAGAACAAGAGAGAGAAAGACAGAUCAGUGUUGCACUGAGAGCAGAGCAGCAGGAAGUGGAUGUAGCCUCAAUGCAGGAAGAAUGUGAUGAUUUAUUGAGAGAAUGGUCGGAUCUUAUUCAGAGGGCGCAUUCUGAGGAUGAAAAGACAGCCCUAAUUGAGCAACAGCAGAGCUAUGCCGCCAUGUUCCAAGAAAACAUAAAUACCAUAAAUUACUCCCAGCAGGAGCUCAAGCUCAAAAAUGCUAAACAUGUUAAAACAGUGAGGAAGAAUGCAGAGGAGAUUGCUGCAUUGCAUGCCCUGAUUGAGGAGCAAGUUGAAAUUAUGACUGAAGCCUACCGAGAGGAGAUGACCCAAACCCAGAGACGUAGUCAGGAGGAAAUGAGUAUCAUGCUUACAAAGGACACGGAAGAAAUGGAUCAAGCCCUGACGAAACUUUGGGACGAAGAGCUCAAGAAUCUGAACAAGAGGAAAAAGAAACUGGAGGAAUACAAGAAGCAACUGAUCGGUCAGGAGCAUAGUCAUGCUUUCAUUGCCUUGGACUUUGCUGAAGAUUCAAAAUAUCUGAAUAAGGAGAGAGAACAGCACAGACUUAAGUUCAGCAGCUGGAAGACUGAGAUAAAAAAAAAAGUCCAGGGAGAUUUAAAAAGAUUUGUGACUUUAUUGGAAAAUAUCAGUAUCAGGAUUGCCAGGGAGGAGAAGGAAAUUAAAAAGUUGAAAAAACUCCACAAUAAUCAACUGAAAAAAUUGCAAAAGCAGAGUGUUUUGUCUGAAGAUUACAAACGCUGCCUGCAGAAGUACGAACGCAAAAAAGAACAAGUCAGGCAACUUUCUCUUGCCGAUGCUAGACAAUUUGAGCAGGUGUGGCUGAUGGUUGAAGGGGAGCUAAAGCAGUUAGCAGGGAGAGCUUUGGCCAUAGACAAAGAGAUCUCCCAGCUCGUAUUUGGUGUAUCCUGGCAGCAGCCUGAUUUGGACCUCACGGAGCUGUCCGGUCCCAUCGGGCCUUGGAUGCCAGCACCAGAGGUAAGCCAGUCAGUGUUUCAAACCAGGAAGAGUAGGCGGGGGAUAACGAAUGGUUCGGCUGAAUCUGACCUCGAGAGUCCGGAUAUGACGGUGAACAAAGAAGGGGCAGCAGUGUCCAUCUACGGCUGUCCUGAAUGGGAGGAAAGAAAACGCUCCGAGGACAAGCAGAACCAAAUGAAGGAGCUGCUGUGUAAUGAAACGGACUUCUUGAUGGCCCCCAAAGUCCUGAAGCUGCUGGCUCCUCUGAUUACUGAGGAACAGACUACUGUAAAGCUGGGCUCUCUCCUUUAUACUCUGGGUAUCGAUGAAAAGGAUUUGCCUGAGUUGACUGAUUUCUUGUUGAAGUACAUGCAGCAGCUGACUGAGCAGAAUGAGGGAGCAGUGGGCGGCUGUGCAGCACCCGGGGAUGCAUGUGAGACCAGUGUUACAAGCUCUAUGUCUGAGUUCAUCCACCCUAACCACAUACUUCCUGCUCUGAAAAGUUUCUUUGAGCAACGCUAUUCCAGGAAUAGCUCAACCGAGCAGCUUUACAAAGUGUGGCUCGCACAUGCCCGGGAUAUUUCCAAGGAUGCAGCGUAUUGGGAGAGACUAGGGAACGUCAUCCCAGAGGAGAAAGUUCAGUUGUGGGAUUCUGCUGAGAAAAUUCUUAAGCAGCACAUUGCUGUGCUGAAAGAUAUCUCUGAUCAUAUUCUGGAGAAUGAGCGCCUGAAGGAGCAGAACAUGGAGCUGCACAUGAAGCUCAACACUAUGUCUACUUAAGUUUACUAUAGUUCACCUCCAGGAGGUUAUUUUGGCUUUUGUCUGAUUGUCAGCAGGAUUAAUUGAUGUUAUCGCUGAGUCUGACUCUAGGAAUUUAAUAUUCAGCUUUGGCAGUGAUGGAGGAAGAAGGGUUUUGUUGAUCAAUGUAACACAAAUGACGAAUGAAGGCUCAAGAAGUUUCUUACCAGAAACAAAGAUGCUAUUGCCUUCCACUUUUCCACAAAUCCCCAGAAAAACAAUUAGAAUAACAUAUUUGGUUGGUCUAACAACCUGUAGCUAAUUUAUACAAUAUUAUCAUCAGUACAAUAUUUUUCAUUCAAGAAAUUAGUGAUUAAUUUUAGAACAAUGCAAUUAUACAGAAUUAUACAAAUGAUAGUUCUGAUCAAUCUUCCUUUGCCAAUGCUCUAUUUCGUUAUAAUCAUAAAAUGUGAUCUAAGCUGAGCAAAAACUUUAUAAAAGUUUAUAAAUAGUUUACUGAUCUUUCUCUCUAAAUUUAGAUAAAAGCCUUAUGACUUUCAAAAAUCUAGAAAUAAUGAUACAUUAAUUUCUUCAUUUGAUUCAUAUUGUGUAGGGGGAAAAAACUAGGACUGCACAAUAUAUAUAAAAAAUGAAUCAUUAUGGCAGACUCAGUGUGUGCAAUACUGAUUUUGUAAAGGACAGUUUCAAAGGCAAUAAUUGUUCACUAAUACAUCACCAUGCAAAAGUAUUCACCCCCAUUGGCAUUUUUCAUGUUUUGUUGCCUCACAAUCUGGAUUUAAAAUUGAUUAAGAGUUUGCAGCAUUUCAUUAACAGAAAAUGCCUACAACUUUGAAGAUUAUUAUUUUUUUAUUGUGAGGCAAACAACAUAUAGGACAAAAUAACAGAAAAUGUCAGCAUGCAUAACUGUCCACUCCUAACGUCAGUGCUUUGUAGAGCCACAUUUUGCAGCAAUUACAGCUGCAUGUCUGUUUGGAUAAGCCUCUUCAAGCUUGCCACAUCUUGCCUCUGGGAUUUUUGCCCAUUCCUCAAGGCAAAGCUGCUCAAGCUCCUUCAUGCCGGAUGGUUUUUGCUUGUGUUCAGCGAUCUUCGAGUUUAACCACAGAUUCUCAAGUGGAUUGAGGUUUGAACUUUGACUAGGCCAUUUCAACACAUUUAAAUUUCCCUUAAACCACUCAAGUGUUGCUUCAGCAGUAGGCUUUGGGUCAUUGUCCUGCUGGAAGGUGAACCUUUGUCCCAGUCUCAAAUCAUAGGCAGACUGAAAGGUUUUGUUCAGGAACAUCCCUGUAUUUAGCACCAACCAUGUUUCCCUCGACUCAAAUCAGUUUCCCAGUCCAUGAUACUAAAAGAAUCAUUGUUACAGCAUGAUGCUGCCACCACCAUGUUUGACAGUCUGGAUGCUGUUCCAUGGUGGCCAAAAAAUUACAUUUGGGUCUCAUCUGACCAGAGCACCUUCUCACCACUAACCAGAGGAGUCACCCACAUGGUUUUUGGCAAACCCAAAAUGUGCCUUCCUAUGUUUAACACUAAGUAAUGGCUUUUUUCUGGCCACUCUUGCAUACAGUAAAGCCCAGCUCUAUAGAGUGUAUGACUUAUUUUGGUCCUAUGGACAGAUACUCCAGGCUCUGCUGUGGAACUCUGCAACUCCUUCAGGGUUAUCUUUGGUCUCUGUGCUGCCUCUCCGAAUAAUGCUCUCCAUGCCUGGUGUGUGACUUUUGGUGGACAGCCCUCUCUUGGCAGGUUUGUUGAUACCAUCUGAUUUCCAUUUGAAGAUGAUGGUUUUGAUGGUGCCUCUAUGGGAACAUCAAAGAUUUGGAUAUUCGUUUAUAACCCCACCCUGACUUGUACUUUUCAACAGCUUUAUUCCUGGCUUGUUUGGAGAGCUCCUUGGUCUUCAUGGUGUGAUGCCCGUUGCUUAGUGGUGUUUCAGCCUCUGAGGGCCUUUUUAGAAAAGUGUCUGGGACUGGAUCGGGACAUUUCUUGAUAGGCAGCAGCCCUCCCCGCAACCCCCCAGGGACAAACCAGAAUAGACAAUAGGUGGAUGGAUGAUCUCACAGGUCAACUGAAGACAUGACACAAAUAAUACAUAAUCAACGGGAGCGAUGCAUUCAUGGAAAGUCUUUGUGAAAAUAAAUAACUUAGCAAAUUAUUUAUGUAAAUUGUUAAUUUACAUAAGUUGAGAAAUUCUUUUGAAGCCAUUUCUAAAUAACUUAAUUCCAAGAUCAGCUGUUUGAACAGCUGUAAAUAUGUGUUUGCAAAUGGGUGAGCACCUCUGAAUGAAGACCCAAUCUGUCGCCUUCAGAGAGAAUUUGUUUAAAUGUUAAGGAACAGCCAAGGGACUAAGAGUCAAACCUGCCAUGAACUUGACACUGCUGGAACACCUUUAUCCCUGUCCACAGUGAAGCAAGUGUUUACUCACCAUGGACUGAAAGGGUGCAUAGUAGGAAGGAAGCACCUGCUCUAAAAUAGAGAUGAUUGAGUGAAAUUUACAGCUGCUCACACAGACAACUGCUUUCUGAAAUAUUUGAUGGCGAGAUGAGAAAGAUUGAGCUACUUGGGCACAAGAACAAGAAUGUUUGGAAGAGUCAAUGGGAGGUUUUCAAACCCAAUAAUACCUGACCAGCUGUCAAGCAUAGUCAUGGUAGCAUCAUGCUGUGGGGUGGUUUAAUUACCGGUGGUAAACUGAAUUACACAAAGUAAAUGAAAUAAAGAAAAAUUUGUUUUCCAACUUCAUCUUAAAUUGACAGCUGGAUGGUUGAAAUUAUGAAACAUAGGUCGUUCCAACAGGACAAUUGUUUAUGAAUGGAAAAGCAAACUAACAUUAGGCUUCGUGAAUGGCAACUUCAACCCUAUUAAUGAUUUAUGAACCAAACAAUAAAAAAAAAAAAUCUGCAAUAAAGAUUAGUUAAAUAUCCAGUAA